UUUAUAUUAGAAAUAGUAAGUUUUGUUAAUAUUAAAAAAAAAAACACUUUUAUGAGUUUACUGAUUUAUCUUUUUAGGUAUCAGAAAAAUGAAGUUGUUUGUCAUUUGUCUGGUUGCUUUACUCUUCAUAAAUUACAGUGAGGCUUUGUGGUGUUAUGCGUGUUUGGGAAAAAAUUGUUCAGCUAGAGACAGGACUGCAGCUCACUUUUGAUAAACCCUGUCUGUGCCACCGUAGAUGCCCCCCAAUUUUAUUUGA